UACGUAGGGCGCAAGCGUUGUCCGGAAUUAUUGGGCGUAAAGAGCUCGUAGGCGGCCUGUUACGUCUGCUGUGAAAUCCCGGGGCUUAACCCCGGGCGUGCAGUGGAUACGGGCAGGCUGGAGGCAGGCAGGGGAGAACGGAAUUCCCGGUGUAGCGGUGAAAUGCGCAGAUAUCGGGAGGAACACCGGUGGCGAAGGCGGUUCUCUGGGCCUGUACUGACGCUCAGGGGCGAAAGCGUGGGGAGCAAACCGG
rnacentral:rRNA from 1 species